rnacentral:rRNA from 1 species
AUUGAACGCUGGCGGCAGGCCUAACACAUGCAAGUCGAGCGAGCGGCGGACGGGUGAGCAUUGUUUGGGGACUGUUCCAUAUAGGGGGAUAAACACUGGAAACGCUAGCUAUUAUCGCGCACUAUCGCAUUAUCCAGAUGGGAUUAGCUAGUAGGUGAGGUAAUGGCUCACCUAGGCGACGAUCCCUAGCUGGUCUGAGAGGAUGAUCAGCCACACUGGUACUGAGACACGGCCCAGACUCCUACGGAGGCAGCAGUGGGGAAGAUUGCACAAUGGGCGCAAGCCUGAUGCAGCCAUGCCGCGUGUAUGAAGAAGGCCGUAGGGUUGUAAAGUACUUUCAGUCGGGAGGCGUUACCGACAGAAGAAGCACCGGCUAACUCCGUGCCAGCAGCCGCGGUAAUUC